GAUGAACGCUGGCGGCGUGCUUAACACAUGCAAGUCGAACGGAAAGGCUCCUGCUUGCAGGGGUACUCGAGUGGCGAACGGGUGAGUAACACGUGGGUGAUCUGCCCUGCACUUCGGGAUAAGCCUGGGAAUCUGGGUCUAAUACCGGAUAGGACGAUGGUUUGGAUGCCAUUGUGGAAAGUUUUUUCGGUGUGGGAUGAGCUCGCGGCCUAUCAGCUUGUUGGUGGGGUAAUGGCCUACCAAGGCGUCGACGGGUAGCCGGCCUGAGAGGGUGUACGGCCACAUUGGGACUGAGAUACGGCCCAGACUCCUACGGGAGGCAGCAGUGGGGAAUAUUGCACAAUGGGCGCAAGCCUGAUGCAGCGACGCCGCGUGGGGGAUGACGGCCUUCGGGUUGUAAACUCCUUUCGCUAGGGACGAAGCGCAAGUGACGGUACCUGGAGAAGAAGCACCGGCUAACUACGUG
rnacentral:rRNA from 1 species